ACCUUCCUUUCAAUGCUAGACCUUGCACAGGCAAUGUCCUCUCUAGCGCGUCGACGACGCGGAAUGAACCUAUGAAUCGUGCAAGAGUCAGUCGUGAAUAUCCCCGUAAACAGUGGAACCGGUCAACGAUACGAGCCGACGUCGAAAACAUGUAUUCGAUAUACAUAUUUCCCAUGCAGUCUGCAAAUAUCCACGUGUAACUUCGAUUUGAAAAAUAAUCGGAGGACGAGUUAGUGAAAUUCUUUAUUUCACUUGAAAACAAACAAAUCUUGGAUGCGAAGAGAUGAUGAACUGCAACGACACAUCGACGAUGGCACAGCUUAUCGCGUUUGUGAAUAAAACCGCGAUUAACGAGUUAUUGCUCGAUGGAAUAGGGAAGAAGGAGAAUUGAACAGUGUUGAAGAAAGAAAAUAGCUUGAAGAACGGAGGUACAUACUACAAGAAAGAAGAAUGAGAAAAGGUGUAUAACGCGAGGUGCUUUACGUUCCACGUUGCGCGUCCCGGAGGUGCCGGAACAUGUGUUUCAGCGUGUUUUACCAAGACGCCGGGGAAAAAGGGAGAAAUCCGUAAAUGCAUAGAGAAACGACAGGGGAGGCAGGAGGAAGAGACUACCGCGGAGGUAAAUCCGCAGGCAGGUGUCGUCCCGAACCAACUUCGGUUGGACAAGAACGACAAAGACGGACACGAAGACGAUACUUCGGCCGAGGACGGUAUUUCCAACGAGAACGAGAAGGGGGAUAAAGGAAAAACGAGAGGACGAGAGAUACAUUGUGGUAAGACAGAAUUCAAAGAGAGUGAGAGAUAGAGAAACAGAAGAGGCAAUCGAGAGUCGCGGACCCCGGGAAGAGAAUAUAGCGGAAAGUUAAAUGUUACAUGAGCUUCGAGGAAGAAGAAUAGCGGUGAGAUUCCCGGUACCGAUUAACCCCCUUACGGAAAUACCGCGCAAGCAUGCGACGAUGAGCGGACGACUUUUCGAUCCGCGUUCGAUCGCGAGAACAGCGACACCUCCACCUCGGAAUCCCAAAGAGAUGGAAGCGUUAUCUGCCGAAAGGAUCGAUCUUCAAGGAUCUGUAAAAGGUAGCGAUGACAGAAAAAGAGGAAUAUGUAGGGGGAGAACGAGAGGGAGGAAGAGCUCGCGGUGCAAGAAGCAGAAGCCUCGUGCCUCGUAUACCACCGUGAUCCUUACGUUUCUUCGAUGACGACAAUCGAUCGGCGUGCCACGAUAUCGGAUUGAUACGCGACAGCUCCGAUACGCUGGUUUUUCCGUGAGGCGGCGAAUGAAUCGGUGAUCCGAACGCCGAAUCGAGGAGGACGGCGAUUUGCGUUUACUAGUUUUUCCGAUUGACCGAGACGCAUUGGAGGAGGCGCGUUUAAAGGUACAGGAAACCCCGCGAAGGGAACAGAAAAGCGAGAGAAACGAGCCACUUGUCACCAGUUUACCGUACUUUCCGACGAAAGGAGUGUCGAACCCUUUUCAACCGGUCCGGACCGGUCGGCAGCCGAUCGUUUUCGGCUUCUGUGCCUCUUUUUCUUCCUCUUCUUCGUCUCCUACUACCGGCGUCGGUGCUUCUUCCCAUGGUUUCGCGGUGCUAACAUUCCGGAGCUAUACCAGGAGACCUUCUUCGAAUAUCAACUUUCCCACACGAUCUCUUUUCGAGGAGGCGCGCUCUGCAACCACCCGCUCUCAUUUCGUUUUCGCUUCGUUUAGUCUCGUCUAACGGACGAAGAUUCGCGAUCGCGAGGAGCUACGUUACGUCCGGUGAAGGUGGCAAAAUCACGGGGAGGACAUGAUUGAUUUUUGACUGAGCAGCCGAUCAGGUCCGUGUGCGAAUCUUUCCCACAACAAGCGUUUUGUCGCCCCCACGUCUGGUUCCCUUUUAAAGAGCGCCAGCUCGUCACGAUCGAAGGAGAAAGAGAGAGAAACAUAGCUCGCGUACAUCGCGAAUCAAUGGUGAGAAACGAAGACGACGAGGAGGAAAGAACUGAUGGACCGAGUGGCACGGAAAGCUUUUUCUGAAAUCACGGGACCCGCGUCCCGUACUUCUCCCGCUUACCUCUCCACCUUUCUUCUCGUCCGUCUUCUCGCGACGCGCAGUCGGGCAUCAAUAAUUUAACGCCCUGUCGUACCGAUAAACCUGCACCGCUCGACAGCGAACACAACGAGGAAAAGGAAGAGGGAGAGAAAGAAGAAGAACGGUCUCGUUCGCGAGACCACUGAGAAAACUGAUUGUGAGGGGGAAGCACGGCGUCGUAUCGCAUACGACGCGAAGAGAAACAGAACCACCGUGUGGAACAUCGUGGAUCAACCCGGGUUUCUUACGUCCGUCCGUUCACGUUCACGUAUAGUCGGUGACGCGUCGCCCUCUCGCUCCGCUCCUGCUGUCUCUCUCUAUCCAUCUCGUUCACCCUUUCUCCCUUUCCCUUUCCCUUCCUCCCGAUUACAAACGGCAAGAAGCGGCAAGAAGCAGCAUUACACGAGACGAGCCGCGCCGACAAAUCGACGGAUUAUGCCGGACGAGCGCCGACCCACCAGGAAUAAAUGAAUUGGCUAACGACGCGAAUCCUCUUGUUUCUCACCCCUUACCCCACAUCAAACUCUCUAUGUCCUCGCUCGACGUACCUAUCUCCCUCUCCCCCGUCUCUCUCUAUCUUUCUCAGUUUUCCGUUUUCUCGCGGUCCUUAAGAUUGAAUCUAGACGAAGAUUAAAGAAAACCUUCCGACUAAUAUAAUAAUCAUCCUAAUAUUUAUGCAGCGCGCAUUUACGUCAGUUUAAAGUUAAUCGGAUAUUGUAUCAAUACUUGAUCGCUCUACUGCUAAUAAUUUCGUCAGACCUUAUACAGUUUCGUAUAAUCGUGAUCUGAUUGUGGACCGAGAGAAAGGAGCACGAUCGUGAAAACAUAAACGCAUCGACACGAAACGAGUAACCCGUAUUCAUUAGUGGCAAGCUACCGUUAAACGCGACUUAUUACCUUGACGAGUUCCCUAAUGAAUUCAACCAAAGGAUUACGCGUUCGCGGCUAAUGAUCCAAUAAAGGAGAUACUUUUCUGGCGAGUAGUUUCGUGCUAACGAAGCUUGCCAACUGCAUAAUGGGGAAAAGUAGAUGAAUAGAUCGAACAGCGGUGCGAAGUUUUACGAAACUAUAUAGAACCGCAUCGAUCGAUACCAGGCCGAUGUUUCUUCGGCAAAAUGUUACCCACGGAACCUCGUCGUAACCCAUUAAAUACUCUUACGCAAUCCGUGGGAUCCGAUAAAUGGGAUAUGUAUUACUCUACAGCGUUCCUGCAGCCCUACAAAUACCACUAGGGAUGCGGAUCGCGGAAGAGAAACUACAAAACUGACUUUUCAAUUAAUUUCGGUUCUUUAUUGCAAACAAAUUAUUUUUCCAUGCUUCUCAUUAUUUUUUUUCACGUACGCCUGAAAAGAUAACUUCGAAACACUUAUGUGGAAAUUCGUGCCCUACGCUUGAUUUGUUUCUCUCAAAUAACGAAAGCCGCAGAAAACCCGCAAGUUCUCUCGUGCACCCGCCCUUCGUGCAACACGGUUACACGACGAAUCGGUAUAACUGUACUGACACGUCGGUCUCGUAAUAGAUUCCGAGCUUGAAAAAACAGAUGCUCUACAUUCGUUGUUUCAGAACGAUGAGAUUCGAUGCUAGUUCAAAUAAUGAAUAUUAUUAUCAGAUUCAGCAUUAAAUUGUUCAAUAGAAAUAUGCAAAAUCCAGUUACAGGCUUUUUCAAGUACAAACGGAUAACAACUGAACGUAAAUAACUAUUUGUGUUCAACCGAAUCAUUUAAACUAUCAGGCGUGUCCCGAUUGUGAGCCAAGAACGGUGUCUUUCGAAUUCCUGACGCAGCUUUAGCCAUCCCUAGUGGAAGCUUUCAGGAAGCGAGCUACUAAUUAGCGAUUUACCACUCGCUCACGCGGCACUCGAGAAAGAAUAUAAUUAGCACUCACCUUUGUGCCGAUGCGCCGUGAAAACCCUUGACCAGUCGAACCUGGCCUCUUGUAAAAAAUCCGUAGAGCCGUUCUCUUCGAAGAGUCAUUCUCGACCUUCUCGUCGUGCUGAUAGAUAGGAAGAGGCACCGGGUUCUGGUUUUCUCUCCGAUCGAGUGUGAAAAAGUGUACACGUUGACGAGUAUCAUUCUUGUGCCCCUAUAUCAACGUGUACUUCAAUCUUCGAAACAAGAACGAAAUUAAUGAUCCUUUUAUUGUACGGUUUCCACGGAACGCAUCCGCUGAAAGGUUCUCCGUUUGCACAUCGCGGCUCCAUCGGAACCGUUUAAUUUCUAUUUCUCAACGACAUGUUCCAACCGCGUAAUCGUUUGUGUUGCUAUUUUACAAAAGCACGACUCUACCUCUUGAUUAUCAUUUCGCCGAACGACGAACGUAUUUCUUUCUUUCUUCGUGUUUUAAUACUGUUUACAGGUAGCGACGAAGAACGUACGAAAAUGAACGAUUAUGGAUCCGGCAGGAGAGGACACAGACAAGGAGGAAGCAGAAGUGACGAGGAUGAGCUCGAUGAAAGAGAAAGAAGCAUCCUUCAACGGAUGGACAGUAUACAGGAUCCGGGAAAACGAUAUCUCUUGAGGGAGUGCAUAGGGUCCGGCGUGUGCGGAGAUGUUUACGAAGCAAUCGAUCAGCAAGCUGGAAAUAAAAAGGUUGCAGUGAAGGUGCAAAAACUGACGCCAGAGUCACAGUCUCUAAUAAUCGAGGAAUACAGGGUACUUCGAGAGUUCGGGUCUCAUCCGAACCUGCCGGACUUCUACGGUAUUUAUCGCAGGAGAUCAGGCAAGAAGACUGAGCACGAUCAAAUAUGGUUCGUCAUGGAACUUUGCGAAGGCGGCUCCGUGUUGAAUCUCGUGCACGGUCUUUUAGCCAUGGACAAGAAGAUGCGCGAGGAACACAUAGGGUUCAUCCUGAGGGAGGUGAUUCAGGCGAUGGUUUAUCUCCACGAGAACAACAUAAUGCACCGCGAUAUUCGCGGCAGCAACAUUUUACUAACCAAGGAGGGCGAAGUGAAGCUGAUCGAUUACGGGCUAUCGAGAGUGGUUCGCGGCGAACUAGGAAAGAGGUACACGUGCAUCGGUUCGCCGAGCUGGAUGGCACCAGAAGUUGUGAUGAGCAAGGGGAGCAGUUCCGACGUCGGUUACGGAAACAGAGCCGACGUAUGGGCGGUCGGGAUAACGGCUAUCGAGUUGGCCGACGGAAAUCCACCCUUUCAGGACAUGCAUCCCACCAGAGCGUUGUUUCAGAUCGUGCGUAAUCCGCCGCCGAACUUGUACAGGCCGUCCAAUUGGUCACAAAAUUUUAACGAUUUCAUUGCCGAGUGUCUGGAGAAGAAUCCUGAAAACCGGCCGUACAUGGCGGAAAUAGCCGAGCAUCCCUUUUUAGCGGAUAUACCUGAGAACGAUUACGUGAUGACGAAGGAGAUUAAAGUAUUAAUGAUGGACGCUUGUGGGAAAAGUAAAUACGAGCCAAGGCCGGAAGUAAUAGUUCGAAAGGGUUUCCUUAAGACUCACCAAACGGAUCCCAUGGAGCCCAUGUUCAUGGAAGAUCUUGCCGCGCUCGAAAUACUCACGGAAGACGCGAUACUGGACGAACUGCAUGAGAGACUGAGGCAAGGCUAUUACCACAGCUUUAUUGGUGAUAUCCUAUUGAUUUUAAAUCCAAACGAGAACCAAGACAUUUACGGGUCCGAUUAUCACACAAAGUAUCAAUGCAAAUCGCGAUCAGAUAACGCGCCUCACAUAUACUCCGUGGCCGACAGCGCUUAUCAGGAUGUGAUGCACAACAAUGAGGCUCAAAACAUCGUAUUGGCCGGCGAGAGCAAUUCCGGAAAAACGACCAACAUGCUGCACCUUGUUCGACAUCUCAUGUACUUGGGGAAAAGUUUGCAAGACACCGGGGCGAGGCUGAUGCGCGCUAUCAAGGUGAUUCAGGCUUUCAGUAAUGCCGCCACACCUCUGAAUCCUAAUUCCACCAGAUGCGUGAUGGAGAUACAAACCACCUAUGGAUCUUCCGGGAAAGCCUCCGGUGGCAUAUUUUGGAUAUAUCAACUUGAAAAAUGGCGUGUUUCUACUCGUGACAGGAAUCAAUCGAACUUUCAUGUGUUCUACUACUUGUACGAUGGCCUCGACGCUGUCAGCAAAUUGAAAAAAUACGAAUUGCCACCGGGAAGGAGGAUGCGAUAUCUCCGAAUAAGCGAAAAGGGAACGGAAAGAAAGCGAUCGUUCAAGGUUCGGAAUGACCCACGCGGGAACGUGGUCAAGUUCGACGAACUCAGAGAAAAUCUAAGGAUAAUGGAAAUGGAGGAUCAUUGCGAAACGAUUUGGAAAGUAUUAGCGGCGAUCUUAAUGCUGGGCGAGGUUCGUUUCGUCGAAGGCAACGACGGAGAAGCCGACAUGGAUAAUAGUGAACCUGUGAAAAGAGUUACGGAACUUCUCAGUUUAGAUGAGAAAAAAUUUACCUGGGCUUUGCUCAAUUAUUGUGUGCUCGUCAAAGGGAGCGUCGUGCGACGAAAGCACACCUGCGAGGAAGCGAAAGAAGCGAGAGACGUAUUAGCUAAUACUAUGUAUCAACGAUUGGUCGAUUGGAUAGUAAAUACUAUCAAUCACAAGUUUACAGUUACACGUGCCUUAUUCGGCGACAAAUACGUGAUUAACGUGAUAGAUCUAUUUGGAUUCGAAUGCUUCGCAGUAAAUCGACUUGAGCAACUGUUAGUGAACACUAUGAACGAACAGAUGCAAUGUUACUAUAAUCAAAGAAUAUUUGCUUGGGAAAUGCAAGAACAACAAGAGGAAGGAAUACCGGUGGUACACGCACACUUUUACGACAACAAAGACGCGAUAGACCAUCUAAUGAGUCGGGACAGAGGUUUAUUCAGCAUAAUUGAUGAAGCGUCGAAGAACAUGCUCGAUUAUACGUACAUUAUGACAAAAAUAGAGCAACGAUCAGAUAGUGUUUAUAUAAAACCGGUGAGUUCUCACGAAUUUACCAUCGCUCAUUACACAGGAAAAUUGGUUUACGACGCUAGCGAUAUCGUCGAGAAGAAUCGCGAUUUUGUAUCGCCGGAAAUGGUCGAAACGUUCAGGCAAUCGAGCAUCGAGGCGGUAAAGGACAUGUUUACGAACAAAUUGACCAAAUCUGGUAACUUGACCAUGGUCGUCGAGCAUCCGAAAGUUACAGAGAAGAAAACUACCAAGGGCAAGUGGGGCGCGCUAAUGCAGGAGACAUCAAGACCGAGGAAAUAUAACACCGCAUCCCGAGGACAGUAUUCCCAGACACGGAAACUGAGAACGUGCGCGGCUAACUUUAAAUCCACCAGUCUUGAAAUCCUUAAGAACCUUUCGACAGGUGGAGGAAGUGGUGGUAUUUAUUUUAUCAGGUGCGUGAGAUCCGACCUCGAAGGGGCGCCGCGCGGCUUUUAUCGCGAGGUCGUUAGGCAACAAAUCAGAGCGCUGGCCGUUCUUGAUACUGCUAAAGCCAGGCAACGUGGUUACCCGUGUAGAAUAUCUUUUCAAGAAUUCCUUCGAAGGUACCAAUUCCUGGCGUUCGAUUUCGACGAGAACGUCGAAGUAACAAAGGACAAUUGUCGUUUACUAUUGAUCAGAUUGAAAAUGGAAGGUUGGAUGAUCGGAAAGACCAAAGUGUUCUUGAAAUACUAUAACGAGGAAUAUCUGUCUCGAUUAUACGAAACACAAGUGAAAAAGAUUGUAAAGGUUCAAUGCAUGAUGAGAGCCUUCCUCGCGCGAAAAAACAUGGCAUCGAAAGUGACGUCGAGUGCGAGAAAAGAUGUCGUGAAGAAAGCGUCUAUAGAGAAGAAGGAGUCGGUGGACCUGUCCGAAGAUCAAGCAGCUGUAAUGAUUCAGAAAGCAUACAGGGGACAUGUAGUGAGGAAGGAUACGGCAUCUCGCCUGGGAAAAGAGAAGAUGGAUCCGGAGACAGUGGAGAUGAUGAAGAUGUACAGCAGCAAAUGGAGGUCGAAGAGCAUGUUCCAAGUCCUCCUACGUUACCGUGCAGCCCGAUAUCAAGACCUCGUGCAAUUCUCGCAACAAGUGCAUCUAUUCAAUCAAGCGAUAGUAACAUCUCUCGCAGCGACGAAUGAUCAAGUAUCUCUAGGCGAAGUCAACUCGAAUGUAACAUCAUCCGCGUAUUUAGGCCAGAUGAAACCACCCCAAGUGCACAAGUUACCUUUCAACUUCCAUAACGAAUUACCUUUCCCCGACAUGAGGAGAGGAAUGAAAGGUCUUGGAUCUGCGUCGUCAUCGGUGUCUGACGAUGAACAUGAAGCCUGGGACGCGCCAUUACGGAGACAAACGGUGCCUUGGGCCAACAGGAACACUCGUACCAGAGAGAUCCGAAUAUCUCGGUCCGAUGUCCACCGGACGGGUCAUCCCGAAGCAGAAUGGGUAACUCCGGGUAUCAUCAACCUUCGAGCAGCCGUAGUCCUGUACCAUCUGCUCACGCUCAUAAUCCUCGCUCAAAUUACGAUAGUACCGACUCGAUACGCUCUAGAAAACACGCACCGCCUCCACCGAUACCGUAUAAUCAGCCACAACCACCCCCGAUGCGCAGCGCUGACAUUUACAGCUCAGAUGUACGAAGUAAAAGUAACAUAGACACAGCUAGUCAUAAUUGGGACUAUGAGGACAAGACUAGCAGAAGUAGCAGUCAUCCUAAUCGCAUUAAUCCGAUUCAAGAGUUGCAGAUGAUAGGUCGCAGAAGUAAUUACGACGAAGAGAGCGACGAGCCACCGUUCAAUUUUCAG